rnacentral:rRNA from 1 species
AUUGAACGCUGGCGGCAGGCUUAACACAUGCAAGUCGAGCGGAGAGAGGUAGCUUGCUACUGAUCUUAGCGGCGGACGGGUGAGUAAUGCUUAGGGAUCUGCCUAUUAGUGGGGGACAACAUUUCGAAAGGAAUGCUAAUACCGCAUACGUCCUACGGGAGAAAGCAGGGGAUCUUCGGACCUUGCGCUAAUAGAUGAGCCUAAGUCGGAUUAGCUAGUUGGUGGGGUAAAGGCCUACCAAGGCGACGAUCUGUAGCGGGUCUGAGAGGAUGAUCCGCCACACUGGGACUGAGACACGGCCCAGACUCCUACGGGAGGCAGCAGUGGGGAAUAUUGGACAAUGGGCGGAAGCCUGAUCCAGCCAUGCCGCGUGUGUGAAGAAGGCCUUAUGGUUGUAAAGCACUUUAAGCGAGGAGGAGGCUCUUUUGGUUAAUACCCAAGAUGAGUGGACGUUACUCGCAGAAUAAGCACCGGCUAACUCUGUGCCAGCAGCCGCGGUAA